CCUACGGGAGGCAGCAGUAGGGAAUAUUGGUCAAUGGCCGGAAGGCUGAACCAGCCAUGCCGCGUGAAGGUCAGUGCCCUAUGGGCGUUAAACUUCUUUUGUGCGGGAGCAAUAAUGGUCACGUGUGGCCAGACGAGAGUACCGUACGAAUAAGCAUCGGCUAACUCCGUGCCAGCAGCCGCGGUAAUACGGGGGAUGCAAGCGUUAUCCGGAUUUAUUGGGUUUAAAGGGUGCGUAGGCUGUGAGGUAAGUCAGCGGUGAAAUGCCCCCGCUCAACGGGGUGAAGUGCCAUUGAUACUGCCUGGCUGGAAUGCGGAUGCCGUGGGAGGAAUGUGUGGUGUAGCGGUGAAAUGCAUAGAUAUCACACAGAACACCGAUUGCGAAGGCAUCUCACGAAUCCGCGAUUGACGCUGAUGCACGAAAGCGUGGGUAUCAAACAGGAUUAGAUACCCGGGUAGUC
rnacentral:rRNA from 1 species